UACGUAGGGUGCGAGCGUUAAUCGGAAUUACUGGGCGUAAAGUGUGCGCAGGCGGCAGAGCAAGUCGAGUGUGAAAGCCCCGGGCUUAACUUGGGAAUUGCGCUCGAAACUACUUUGCUGGAGUGUGGCAGAGGAAGGUGGAAUUCCACGUGUAGCGGUGAAAUGCGUAGAGAUGUGGAGGAACACCAAUGGCGAAGGCAGCCUUCUGGGCCAACACUGACGCUCAUACACGAAAGCGUGGGGAGCGAACAGG
rnacentral:rRNA from 1 species